rnacentral:lncRNA from 1 species
AGGCUGGAUUGCAAUGACGGGAACUCAGCUCACUGCAACCUCUGCCUCCUGGGUUCAGGAGAAUCACUUGAAUCCAGGAGGUGGAGACUGCAGUGAGCCAAGAUUGCGCCACUGCACUCCAGUCUGGGCAACAGAGCAAGAUUCCUCCGUCUUAAAAAAAAAAAAAAAAAAAAAGUUUUUUCAAGGGUAAAGCCUACAAUAGGAGCUCCUGGAAAGAAAAAAUAUGACAUCAGAAACAAAAUGCUUAAUAGAAGGAUUAGAAAACAUUGAGCAAAUUUUCCAGUAAGUAAAAUAAAAAGACAAAAUAGAAACUAAGAAGGAACAAAUGAGAAAUUCAUCCCAAAAUGUGAAUAAGAAGUUUCAGAAAUACAACAAAGGAAAUGAAAUAAUUCAAGAAAACACUCCAGAAUCGAAAGGACAUGACUUUUCAGAUUGAAAGGGUCAUGAAUGGCCAGGACAAUAGGUGUGUCAUUGUAAAAUUUCUCAAUGCUAGGGACAAAGAAAUCCUGCAAGGUCACACACAAAGAGUGAAGAAUCAGAAUGACUUCGGCCUUCUCAGCAGCAGCACUGGAAGCUAGAAGAUGACAGGGCUGAGGAAUCUAAGUUCUGAGGCAAAACGAUUUCUUACCUAGAAUUCUACACUCAAUUAACCAAGUGUUAGACAUUUUCAGACACACAAGAUUUUGAAAAAAUUAUCUCUUGUGUACUCCCAGGAAACUCCUGGAGGACAUGUUAUCAAAACGAGGGAAGAAAGCAUAAAACGAGAAGACAUGGGAUCCAGAAAACAGGCAAUCUAACACAAGAAAGAGGCAAGGGAAUCCCUUGGACAGCGGUAAACAGAGGUUCCAGAAUAGCAGUGUGUAGCAGGCCCCCAGAGCAGGAGAGAAGGCUCCAAGAGACUUUCCUGAGAAGAAUGUACUGAGAGAAGAUCAAGGUAACUGGCAGAGUUUAAGUGGUAAGAGUGACUAGUGCUAAUGCCUUAGAAACCUAAGUGCAUGAAAAAAGAUAAGCAAAACAAAGUGGUGUGUUAGAUAGGAAAAGCAAUCGUGGCUGACUACAUGGCUUAGCUGCAAGUGGCAUUUACGCUGUCAUAACAAACACUAUUAUCUACAAAAAAUUACACUAUAUUGGGAGCAAGGGGGCACAGAAAGGGGUGCAUAUGUAUAGAGGGGGCAAGUGAAGAAGAAGGAGCUAAAUCCUCAUCUUCCAUAGUGGGAAGUCAACAGAUAAGGCCUAAAGGAAAAAACAGGAAGUCGUAUUACAAACAUGUUAUUUGGAGAUAAGUAAAUUCCAAAAGAAUUAAACAAGUUGAAAUUGGUCCCUCUAGGGAAAAGGAAAUGGGUUUGGGGUGGGUACAGGGAGGUUGAGGAUUGCUCUUUGUCUUAGCAAAUCUUACAGAACUAGUUCCCUUUUUAAUCAAUGUUCCUGUGUAACUUUGAUAAAAUAUAAAAUUAAAAAAUGACUGUGGUAAAGGGUGAUGAAAUGAAUGCUUAUUGAAUGCAGACAGUGCAGACAGGUGCUCCCCAUUUAGGUGCCACUCUGCUGGUGUCCAAGCUUUCUACGCUGUUACAGAUCACGCCCAAGGUAUGAAGGAAGGUGCCUCCAUUUGGGGGUUGGUCCCACACUGUGCUGACUGCUGCCUCAGUAAGUCACUUAGCCUAAGUCUCAGCUGGCUCACUUUAUGGAACCAGAUUCAAGGAGUGGUGAAGGUUUCAUGGGCAAGUGCCUGUAGAAUACCUGGAUGGGCAGCCACCUACUUCAGGUCCUGAUCUGGGGAAAAGAAAGCAGUAGGAAAGUAGUGAGCAGAACAGAAAAAUACGCAGUCUGAUGGUGGAAAUAGACUCCAGCCCCUGGAGGCAUGAAAAAGAGAAGCCCCUGCAGAACAGAGCUACUUGUGAGCUGGCUGGUGCCCUGCAUGUCAGACUCUGACCGUACUCCUGUGUGCUGGAGAGUUUCUGCUUCAGAAUGUUGAAAUGGUGGUUUCUGAGUGAGCUCUGUUGUCAGAUACUCCAGCAGCAGCAGUGUGAAGCAUAUCUCGGGAUAAACGCCUAUCAGAGGCCACAGUCUAGUUAGCUGAGAUAAACCAUGUUCUAGGAGAACUCACAAUACAAGGUGUGGCGAGGAAGAAAAAUGCCCCAAACUGGGAAUGAAAACAUCCAGCUUCCCGGAUGCCUUCUCUGCCACUUCUUGCUUUGUGACUUUGAAUAAGUCACUUGCCAUCAUGGCUCACUUUUCUCUUCUGUAAAAGGACUGGACUAGAUGCGUUUGAGGGUCCUUCCCGACAUGUAAGAAAGUAAACUCACAGCUGGGAACGGCGACUCACGCCUGUAAUCCCAGCACUUUGGGAAGCCAAGGCAGGCGGAUCACCUGAGGUCAGGAGUUUGAGACCAGUCUGGCCAACAUGGGGAAACCCUGUUUCUACAAAAAAAAAAAUACAAAAUUAGCUGGUUGUGGUGGUGCAUGCCUGUAAUCCCAGCUACUUGGGAGGCUGAGGCAGCAGAAUGGCCUGAAUCUGGGAGGCGGAGGUUGCAGUGAGCCAAGAUCGUGCCACUGCACACCAGCCUGGGCAACAGAGGAAGACUGUGUCUCAAAAAAAAAAAAAAA